rnacentral:rRNA from 1 species
GACAGAGGUGCCGAGCGUUAGGCGGAAUCACUGGGCUUAAAGCGUGUGUAGGCGGGCCGUUAAGUACCUUGUGAAAUCCCCCGGCUCAACCGGGGAACGGCUGGGUAUACUGGCGGCCUUGAGGCACCCAGGGGCGAGCGGAACAGGCGGUGGAGCGGUGAAAUGCGUAGAUAUCGUAAGGAAGGCCGGUGGCGAAAGCGAGCCUCUGGACAGUUACUGACGCUGAUGCACGAAGGCCAGGGGAGCAAACGGG